GGGUCCCUGCAUCACAGCAUCCCAAAAUGCCGGCAUCCCUGCACCCCAAGUCCCUGCUUCCCCGCAUCCCAGGUCCCCACAUCCCUUCACCCCAGCAUCCCAGCGUCCCGGGUCCCUGCCUCGCUGCAUCCUGACAUCCCAGGUCCCUGCAGCCCUGCCUCCCUGCAGCCCUGGUCCCUGCUUCCCUGCAUCCCAGCCCCCCGGUCCCUGCCUCCCUCCAUCCCGGCAUCCCCGCUUCCCUGCCUCCCUCCAUCCCUCCCGGCACCCCGAAAUCAGUGACCGUACGCAGCAGCGCUGUGAAUGCCUCUUGGGCAUACCGCCUCCCCCGAAGGGAAAGGAAAUGAUUUGGGGGCUUGAAAAAAUAAUAACAGCUUGUAUCCGGGCCUUCCUGCGGCAAGGUUAACCGGUGUACGUGUAGCACAGAAAUGCUGAUACGAAGCGCUGAUACGCAGCCUUCUGCAGCACAUCUGCUGCGAGGCUGACCUUCAGAACUGCGUGCUUCGUUACUGGGAGACAAACACGGCGCUGCCUUCCCUGCAACAACCCUGCUUCAGGCCCGAGAGAAGGAAAAAAAAGAAAGAAAAAAAGCAAAAUUCGUGGCUGCUGCAGGAGGGGCCAGCAGGGCCGGGGCGAGUGGUGGGCUUGUGGCCUCCGGACCUCCACUCGCCGCUGCGGUGCAGUAAAAUCCUGUUGAACUGCUGCUGGGGUCAGACGCAGAAGUUAACCGCGGACGACUCGCUUGCUGUGUGUGGAAGAAGCUGUAUAAUCACCUCCCUCCUUGUUCGUACCACCAGCCUUUCCCAACGCAAACAAUGCCCUGAAAGGGGAAAUUCAGCAUGACACUGUGGACGUUUUGCAUGCGUUUAUAAAUGCGGAGCUCUGGGUGCUA